rnacentral:rRNA from 1 species
UACGGGGGGAGCAAGCGUUGUUCGGAUUUACUGGGCGUAAAGGGCGCGUAGGCGGCCACCGCAAGUCGACUGUGAAAUCUCCGGGCUUAACCCGGAAAGGUCAGCCGAUACUGCGGGGCUAGAGUGCAGAAGGGGCAACUGGAAUUCUCGGUGUAGCGGUGAAAUGCGUAGAGAUCGGAAAGAACACCAACGGCGAAAGCACUCUGCUGGGCCGACACUGACACUGAGAGACGAAAGCUAGGGGAGCGAAUGGG